ensembl:lncRNA
CUUCGCCAGUCUGAAUGAGGUAUAACUGUAAAAACUUAUUUGCUGUUUUCCCAUAAUUUCAGUCAAUUUUAGAGUUGUCUCUGUUUCUAGACAGUAAUCCAGAGAUGAUGAAGACAGGCCACCAGCUGCCAGCUGUUGGAUAAUAAAGCAAGGUCUUUAAUGCGUUCAUUGGCAGAUUGCUGCUGCCGCUAUGAAGGAGACGCAUACAGCGAGCCACAGUUUACGACCGUCGAGCUCACACCCUGCCAACCGAAUUGGCUUCUCACUCCUCCGCUUGGAACCGGGAAUCACGAAGAGAACACGUCCUGCUGAUUGGUCACGUCUGAUUGGUCGAUGUGGCCAAGUGCUGGAUUAAUUGCCGUUGUCAUAAUGCUAUGGCAACACAAGGCUAUUACCCUGAUGGUGGACAUUCAUCAUGUGACGGCAGACGCGAGGCUCCAGCUCAGUGUACUGUGGCGUGGUUGUCUACAAACACUAGUCAUUCCUCUUGUGUGCAUCCUGUUAUACAAAACAUGUCUGCCCGCCCGCUCCGUUGUCAAGCUCCGUUCAGCCACUCAGAACCACAGACACGGCUGCACUUAGUCUUCGCUGAUGGCUGAAUGAAAAAAAAAAUAAACAUACAGACCUACUGCAGUGAUCAGAGAACGGUAAAUAUAUUACUGCCCGCAGACCUGAGUUCAUCCAAAUGCCAUUUUAAAUCAUGUCAUAUACUUCUAAGCUCAAUCGAUACUUGACUAAGUUGGCCUGGUGCAAUGCAACUAAUGACAGAGCUGAAAAAGUGCAAAACCAGCUCACCUGGAAUUCCAGACAGGCUGAAACAAACCGCUGAAGUAUCUGGAAGAUUUGAAAUAGUACUGGAAUCCAGAUCUGUUUGCCCAGCCUCCAGGAAAUGUUUACAUUACAGGGCCCACGUUCCCAUUCACCCUGGGCUAAUGCAAAUUAAUUUCAACUCUCCAGCAAAUGAUUCCAGGGGACUCGGCCUCUCACUAGGCCCGCAACAAGAGAGAGUUGUAAGGCACCAACACUUCAUUAGCUAUUCCUCAAAGUCUGUAAUGGAUAUAAAGGCAUGGUUGACAUCCCAAUGACACCCUUUUCCCCGAAACUCUGCACUACUUUUAACCAAGACAGCAGAAGCUUUGCUAAAAAUAGUCCACUUUAUGAAGUUAGG